AUUGAACGCUGGCGGCAGGCCUAACACAUGCAAGUCGAACGGUAACAGGAAGAAGCUUUCUUCUUUGCUGACGAGUGGCGGACGGGUGAGUAAUGUCUGGGAAACUGCCUGUUGGAGUGGGAUAACUCCUGGAAACGGUAGCUAAUACCGCAUAACGUCGCAAGACCAAAAAGGGGGACCUUCGGGCCUCUUGCCAUCGGAUGUGCCCAGAUGGGAUUAGCUAGUAGGUGGGGUAACGGCUCACCUAGGCGACGAUCCCUAGCUGGUCUGAGAGGAUGACCAGCCACACUGGAACUGAGACACGGUUCAGACUCCUACGGGAGGCAGCAGUGGGGAAUAUUGCACAAUGGGCGCAAGCCUGAUGCAGCCAUGCCGCGUGUAUGAAGAAGGCCUUCGGGUUGUAAAGUACUUUCAGCGGGGAGGAAGGGAGUAAAGUUAAUACCUUUGCUCAUUGACGUUACCCGAAGAAGAAGCACCGGCUAACUCCGUG
rnacentral:rRNA from 1 species